rnacentral:rRNA from 1 species
GAUGAACGCUGGCGGCGUGCCUAAUACAUGCAAGUCGAACGAAGAUUGUAGCAAUACAUUCUUAGUGGCGAACGGGUGAGUAACGCGUUGGUGACCUGCCCCGAAGUGGGGGAUAACAAUUCGAAAGAGUUGCUAAUACCCCAUGUGAUCCUCCGGUCUAGAUGCCGGUUGAUUAAAGGAUUUAUUCGCUUCGGGAGGGGCCUGCGUCCCAUCAGCUAGUUGGUAGGGUAACGGCUUACCAAGGCGAUGACGGGUAGGGGACCUGAGAGGGUGACCCCCCACAAUAGGAACGUAGAACAACGGUCCGACUACACCUACCGGGUUGGGCAG